UGGACAUUUAUGUGUGGUCAGUUUCUUCUCCGAGUGAAGAGUACGCUUUAUAAAUGUCCUAGAGAAAUACAGUAGCUUUCUGUCCACCCUUUGCAAGCGAGAGGGGUGGUUCGUUCCACUACUGACAGCC
ensembl:snoRNA